CCUUGUACACACCGCCCGUCACACCAUGGGAGUCGUUUGCUCCAGAAGUGGCUAUGCCAACCCGACGAAGGGAGGUAGGUCCCAAGGAGUGAACGGUAACUGGGGUG
rnacentral:rRNA from 1 species